UACAGCUUUAUACAAUUAGCUCUUGUUUCAUUGCUUUUCAUGUGGGAAAUAGGAAGAGAGAGGUCUUAUGUUCCUUAAGGAAGACUUGUUGAAGAGAUGGGUUUAGAGAAUGAAAGACAGACAUUGAGAGCAAGAGAGUUUCGCAUGCUCACAGGUUGCCGUGGGCAGAGGUCCUGAACCAACGCUUCAGACCUGAGCUUCUGGUGAGAAAUGGCUUCACUGAUGCGUUAUCUCCUGCCGUGUGCAAAAGUGCUAGGCACAGCACCCAGUUCUGCAGACAAUGGAGCCAAGUGGGCUGUGCACAGUGGCGAUAUAAACAGCAGCUCUACAGGUGGCCUUCUUUAAGCAAUCUGCUGGAAGCAUGUUCGGCCUGUCCACCAGUCUGUCAACUGAAGUUAUUUUCAAGAAUUUCCAACUCUAGGGAGAAUAAAUCACACAAGUUCUACCUACCGUAAAGACGACUGUGAGAUGUGAGAGGUACUGGAGAUGAAAGCACUUCCAAUGUGUGAGGAGUUAAAAAAAAUGUUACUCAUCAUUAUGAUAAAAAUAACCAUAAUGAUGAAGAUGUUGGUAACUGCUCUAAUUGGUUUUCUUUUUGUUUUAUCUCACACAGACCAUAUGCAAUUAAAGCUCUUAUUAAAUCAGUGUGGAUGUCGAUCAGUUGCUUACA